CUCAGAUCAUGCUUGGGUGCCCAGGCUCCUGUGCUUAAUCUUUCUUAACUGGAUCAUCAGUGCUUGGGAAAUGGGCAGGAUAACAAUUUAAAGAGAUAAUUGACUGCACAAAUCAGCUCAUCCCUUCAAGGGAUAAAUUUUCUCACACUUUCUGGUUCUGUAAUAGGUCAGGGCUGUUGGAGACAGAGCUGGCUUUUUCCCUGAUGUCCAGGGUCCUGAAAUGAAGUAUGGCUGGGCCACUUGACUGGGAGUGCAGUUACAGAAGCCAAUGCUGGUGCUGCAGAGAGCGCAAUGCCCAAAGUGGGUGCAUCUCUGAUGGUGUAAAGGAUGAAGAACAAGCUCUGAGGAAGGUUAGAGGCAAGAAGAAUGGAAGAGAGGAAGAGAAGAAGAGAACAUGAGACAAAAGAGCCAGCCUGGGGUGCUAAGGAGCUGCCAAAAGACUCAAAGUAGCAGAAUGGGUGGGCAGGCCCUCACUGCCUGAGCCAAGCCAGCACCUGUUCACACCCACAGACUCAGACUCUAUGGCCAAGAGCACUGAAUCCAUGUUUUUGGCCUUCCACUAAUCAGACUGGUUUUUAUCACAGGCCCAUAUGGAGAUGGAGCAACUUGCAUCAUCCUGGUCAUAUAAAAGAAAUCAAGGGCUGAUUGUCCUUGCCAACCGUCUCCCUGUACUCAGCCCGUCGGAGGAAUGACAUUACAUAAAUCCUCAAACAUAAAGAGGCAUAAGGACGGCACACAUCUUGCCUUGGCAUCCCACAUAUCUAAUCUAAACAUUCUCUGUUCUCACCAGGACAUCCCAACACAUUACCUAACCACACCCCACCCCUCCUGCACCAAAACAUUUUUUUAUAAUAGUUGUCAUUAUCAUUAUUGUCAUCAUCAUUACCAUAAUUAUCAUCAUUGUAGAGACUGUCUGAGUUCACCAUUUCAACUCCAAGGACAUUUUGAUUCUGUAUUUAUACAUGCAAAGUUUUAAUUGAAAUUAUACAUGCAAAGUUUUAAUUGAAAUUUAUCUGCAUUGAUAAACUCUCAUUGACAAUCUAUUCUCCAAAGAGAAUUCUCUUUAGCCAAUUUAAUUUUUGAUCAAUCUUUUAAAAUAUAGAACAGUUAAAUUGUUUCCAUUUUUUCCCAUUUCUAAUUUAAUGUUAUUGAAACUUUCCUCAG
rnacentral:lncRNA from 1 species